AGAGUUUGAUCGUGGCUCAGGAUGAACGCUAGCGGCGCGCUUAAUGCAUGCAAGUCGAGCGAUGAGGCCCCUUCGGGGGCACAUCAGCGGCAGACGGGUGAGUAACACGUGGAUGACCUGCCCCGAAGACGAGGAUAACGGAUGGAAACAUCCGCUAAUACUCGAUGGUCUUGUACUGUCGCAGGUACAAGUAAAGCUCCGGUGCUUCGGGAGGGGUCUGCGGCCUAUCAGCUAGUUGGUGAGGUAACGGCUCACCAAGGCGACGACGGGUAGGGGGUGUGAGAGCACGGCCCCCCACAAUGGGACUGAGACACGGCCCAUACUCCUACGGGAGGCAGCAGCAGGGAAUAUUGCACAAUGGACGGAAGACUGAUGCAGCGACGCCGCGUGGAUGAUGAAGGCCCUCGGGUUGUAAAAUCCUUUUCAGGGGGACGAGGAAGGACGGUACCCUUGGAAUAAGCGUCGGCUAACUACGUGCCAGCAGCCGCGGUAAGACGUAGGACGCGAGCGUUAUCCGGAUUUACUGGGCGUAAAGCGUCUGUAGGCGGAAUGGUAAGUUGGGCGUGAAAGCUCCGGGCUUAACCCGGAGAGGACGUUCAAUACUGCCAAACUAGAGGGCAUCAGAGGAGCGUGGAAUUUCCGGUGUAGCGGUAAAAUGCGCAGAUAUCGGAAGGAACACCAAUGGCGAAGGCAGCGCUCUGGGAUGAACCUGACGCUAAGAGACGAAAGCUAGGGGAGCGAACAGGAUUAGAGACCCUGGUAGUCCUAGCCCUAAACAAUGGAUGCUAGGUGUAGGGCCGCAAGGUUCUGUGCCGGAGCAAACGCGAUAAGCAUCCCGCCUGGGGAAUACGGCCGCAAGGCUAAAACUCAAAUUGACGGGGCCCCGCACAAGCAGCGGAGCGUGUGGUUUAAUUCGAUUCUACACGAAGAACCUUACCUGGGUUUGACAUACAAGUGGUAAUGAGGCGAAAGCCAAGUGACCCUUCGGGGAGCUUGUACAGGUGCUGCAUGGCUGUCGUCAGCUCGUGCCGUGAGGUGUCGGGUUAAGUCCCGUAACGAGCGCAACCCUUACCCUUAGUUACAAGUGUCUAAGGGGACUGCCGGCGGUAAGCCGGAGGAAGGUGGGGAUGACGUCAAGUCAGCAUGGCCCAUAUGUCCAGGGCUACACACACGCUACAAUGGUUGGUACAAAGGGCAGCGAAGCCGCGAGGUGGAGCGAAUCCC
rnacentral:rRNA from 1 species